rnacentral:piRNA from 2 species
UGAGAAACAGUGUCCUUUCCUCUACAAGC